UACGUAGGUGGCAAGCGUUUGUCCGGAAUUAUUGGGCGUAAAGCGCGCGCAGGCGGUCCUUUAAGUCUGAUGUGAAAGCCCACGGCUCAACCGUGGAGGGUCAUUGGAAACUGGGGGACUUGAGUGCAGAAGAGGAAAGUGGAAUUCCACGUGUAGCGGUGAAAUGCGUAGAGAUGUGGAGGAACACCAGUGGCGAAGGCGGCCGACUGGUCCGGUUCUGACGCUGAGGCGCGAAAGCCAGGGGAGCAAACGGG
rnacentral:rRNA from 1 species